AUGGGAGGUUACUUGAACUAAAAUUCCACCAGUCAUUUUUCAACAACCUUUAAUCCUUUUCCUCUCUUCAUCCUCAUCCUAAACUCUAACUUCAUGGUUCAAGCCCGUAAUCGUAAGGUCACAUGACAGUGGUUUUGCCAAUUAUGUCAUGGCUCUUUUUCAGAGCUUUUACUCACUGAGUGGGAUUGUAAUUGUUUUUUUUGUUGGCACAGAAUAAUGAUAGAGAGGUUUUAAAUUAUUCCCGUAUCAUAGGAUAUAUGGACCGUGAACUGCUGCUCAUCUUUCUUAACUUCAACCUAGUGUAGCGUUUCACUCCUUUUGCUUUCCAUGAACUGAGGUGGCACCAUCUACGAAAUUUUGCACCCCACCCCGGUGCAAUAUCUCAAGAAGUGAUUUCUCAACAGUAGUGCUGGCAAGAACCAUACUCGCCAAAUUUUUCACCAAGCCACAAUUUUUCCUGCAUGUUAAAAGUUGUUGCUCUUUAAUAGGCUAUAGCCUAUUCCUCAUCUAUUGCUGCUUCGGAGGAGAUUCUUGAAGACGUUGUUCUAAAGAUCGAAAUGGGAUCCCCGAGAAAACGAUUCUCGCAGAUAUCUCUCCCGAGGAUGUACCUCCGAAAGUAGAUUAGAUUUUUAGGUUGUUGCUCCCUGCUUCUUUAUUAUUUGUGUAAGGACCCCUCGUGGGAUUUUAUAAUCGUCUUUUAUCAAUAUAAAAGUUUCUUCG
rnacentral:lncRNA from 1 species